rnacentral:lncRNA from 1 species
ACAAGUGCAAGAGUCAUCUUCCUAGCAAUUCUAAAAUGGCUUUAUAACCCAGGGAAAGAACCUUGAGAAUCUUGUAGGUUUAAGGAACAUCCUGAGAUUUGCAGGUUGCUUACUCCCUCAGCCUUGUAUGUGCUGCUUACUUCUGUGGAGAUGGACUGUUUCCAUUCAAAGAAACCGUGGCAUCACUCAUUGUAGUUUAGAUGCCAUGUCUUAGUAUUCCAUCAACUGAGUUUGUAAGAACUUGGAAUCCAAACUAACUGGAAAGGAGGACAAACCACACUGUUCAAGCCCUUUAACCACAGCAUAGAACCUAGAUAGCAUUUUAGAGUCUCAUGUAGCCCAAGCUGCCCUCCAUCUCAGUAAGUAUCUGGGGAUGACCUUGAACUUGUGAUCUACCUUCCUCCAUCUCCCAAAUGCUGGAAUUACAGGUAUGUACACUCUAUGCCUGUUUUAUGUGGUGCUGGGAUCAAACCCAGACUUUUAGUCAUACUAAGUAAGCACUCUACAAACUGAGCUAAAUCUUCAGCCCAAAUAAAUUGUGAUAUGGGAUAAUUUGUCUUACCUCAAUGUGUGUGCACAAAGGCAGACUUUAAUAACACUUUUCACCCCUUAGAGUUUUAAAUUUACUACAUCAAACUAGGAUGGAAUGUAUCUGUUCUGUUUAUUCAAACCCCACUCAACGUGAGAAGGAAGCCACUGUAAGAAGUUUGAUACAUGGAAAGGUGCAUAUAUUUCAAAAUGUACCCUCAGAAGAAUUUACAUUGUCAGUGUUUCUUUUACAAGCCAGAAAAAGAUACAUUGUAUCUAGAAAGAAAACUACAGGGGAAAGCAGAAUGAUGAAAAACUAGCUUUCUUUCCCCUUGUCUCCCAAGAUACCUACUGUGAUGGUCAAUAAGGCAAAAGUAUGCUGGGAAAUUCUAAUGAGCCUGGGCAAAAGCCAAAUGCCCAAUGAUGAUUUCUGAGUGUGCCUGCAGGAUCUGCAGCAACCUCCUCCUGCCUCUGUUUUACAGAGGUGGAUAACAAUUCCUGUGUAGUGGCCUUGACUACAGACUCCACACACAAAGGUGCAUCUCUAACCUCAUCACCUGUCCAAAG